AUGAGGAGAUACUGGGAAGCUGUGCUGGGGCUCCUGUGGGUGCAUGGUUGCUUAGUGACAGGGAUGAAGGUGGAGCAGAGCCCUUCAGCCCUGAGCCUGCAGGAGGGAGCCAGCUGUACUCUGAAGUGCAAUUACUCUAGCGUAGUGAACAGUGUGCAGUGGUUCCGACAGAAUCCCGGGGCGGCAGCCUCACCAGGCUGUUUUACAUAGCUUCAGGGAUGAAGCAGAGCGGAAGGCUAAACUGCACAGUGAAUACUAAGGACCAGUCCAGCACCCUCCACGUCACGGCCUCUCAGCUGGAAGACUCAGCCACCUACCUGUGUGCCGCGGAGGCACAGUGCUCCCUGGGUUCAGCCAAGGAGAGAAUGUGGAGCCGCAUCCUUCACCUGAGUGUCCAGGAUGGAAACAGCACUGCCAUCAACUGGAGUUACUCAGACAGUGGCUCAGACUACUUCCCUUCGUAUAAGCAAGAAUUUGGGAAAGGUCCCCAGCUCAUGAUUGAUAGACAUUCAUUCCUCUGUGGCUGA